CCCAAUUUUAUAGACUUUUCAUCGAAUUCUGGGAGGCUAGAAGAUUUCUGGGGCGGGCAGGCGUAGAGGUGGGCUAAUGGAGGGGAAUUCCUGCUUUGGGUUCCCGGCUCUUGAUCAGUCUGGUUUUGUACUUGUGUCUUCUAAGCUUUUCCACAUGUGGCCCAAGGGCCCAUCAGUGAGCAUGUUUUAUAAACUGGAAAAAUGAAUAAAAACAAGACCCAGAAGGGAAACACCACGAGGAGCAGGCAGGGAAAGUGUGAGUUCCUCUGUACCCCCCAGCUAGGUCUGACCUGCCUUGGUGGGGUCCCAGGGUCAGGCUUAGCUGGCUUUAUGGGUAAAAUGUGGAUUUUUGUGCUCAGAGAAGCCUGGUCAGUUUUGGCGCUGAGCUGCUCUGUUCAGCAUUAAUUAACUCCAGGAAGGCAAGAGUGAUUCUUUUUAUUUGGCUAUCUGACUCCACAAACCCUGCUGGCUUCCUGUCCCCGAGGUGCUGGAUUGAUGGGCCCGCAAAUGUGUAAAGUCCUGCACAGGAAGCCCCCCACCCCCACGGCCAUUCAGAAACUCUUGACUCCUGCUGUCCCCAAAGGCAAGAAACUUAGAGGCUCAGACCCCAACUCUGUUUACACCUUUAGAAAUGGAAGCUGCAGGGACCUACGUUUCCUUCCCUGAGGUUCUCGGGCUAAGCAAGAGGCCGUGUGUGAGGGCUGGGGAUGUGUGGAAAACACUCUCUAAACUGCUUCAUAAUCACACACAACCAGAGAAGCAAGUUCAAAAGCGACAAAUCUUGGAAGUUUGGGGAAGCUUUGAAAUAACCCCAGAGGGUCAUGUUUUCUCCAUCGCAGGUCCUUACUCCCAUGAUCCCCCAACUUCUUCCAAACCUUACUCCAAGAACUUCAGACUGAAAAUAUAAAAAUAUAUCUGGGAGUUCACAGCUGCCUCACGUAUUUAUUUAUACUUUUGUAUCAACUCGUGUUCUUCAAAACACACCCCUCAGUAGAAAUGAGGAGACUCGGCAGACAGAAAACAAAUUCUUAACAGUUAUAACUUUACAUCAAAUUUCUAGUGGGAGCGACGGGGCUAGACGGGCACACGGUCUUUAACAGCUUGGUAUUACAAGGUUCUUCGACACACAAAAGCAGAUGUCGUAUUCUUAGUUGUGUUUUAAACCCAUAGGUUGCCGGAGCUAAGAAAGACAGGUAAGUCCUCCCUGAAGGCCACUGGGCUCUUAUUUCUGAGUCCCAGCCACUGAAGGGGCACACGCUUAUCAUUAUUAUUGGUGUAUGUUAGACGAAUGAUGAGGUCCUUUAUGACAUCUCCAUCGUGCACGUCAUGCACUCAAACUCACCCCCCCCCCAACACACACACACACACUGGUUCUUCGUCUGAGAUGACAGAUAAUAUAAUCUGAUAUCAUGCUGAAUGCAAACCGAGUCUUGGGAGCACCGAUAUCAAUCUUUCUGUGUUGGGGGAUUUUCGUCUUUUGGUCAGAAUACCCUAAGUAUCCUCGGCUGCCCCAGUCUCUACAAUGGUAGGAGGGCCUGAAAUCUCUGGUAUGGUGGCCAGCAGAAAGCCUUCCAAAGGUGGCGAUGUCCUGAUCUCCAGAUCUGUGACAUACUACUUUCAAGGCCUCAGGGGGGUUAUAGCAGCAUUUAAGGUAAAGGACCUCAAAAGAGAGUGUCCUGAGCCACCUACGUGAAUCUUCUCUAAUCCCAGGGGACUUCUUUUUCUUUUUGUUUGUUUGUUUGUUUGUUUAUUUAUUUAUUUAUUUAUUUUUACAUCCCAACCAUAGUUUCACAUCCCUCCUCUCUUCUCAGUUCCCCUUCUGUUCCCUCCCCUCCCCACUCCUCCUCUGUUUCUACUUUAAAAAGGACAGGCCUCCCAUGGAUAUCAACCAAAUGUGAGGUGAAGUAAGACUAGACACCUCUCCUCAUAUUAAGGCCAGAUGGAGCAAGCCGCUGUGAGGAAAAGGGUCCUAAAAGCCAGCAAGAGAGUCAGAGACACACACCCUGUUCACACCGCUCCGAGUUCCGCCAGAAGAGCAAGAUCCACAGCUGUAACACAGGUCAGUCCUAGGCGGGCCCCAGGAGACUUUAAAAUAUACUUUACAGGGGCUCAGUCUGUUGCUGCCGGAGGCUUCUACCUUGGAUCAUGAGAUAGAUUAUAGGUGACUUUGGAUCAGAACUUGUUUGGUGAGGAGAGAAGACCUCAGUCCUCCCUCCAAGGAGAAACAGACUUCAGCCAAAGCUUGACUAAGCUGGAACGAGCUGUCUUCCUUAGACUCUUCAGUGAGGGGGACCGUGCACGCUGCCCUGCGGGGACCCAGAAAUCCGGAGCCAUGGACAGAGGUUCCACUGCUAAGGAGACCAGUGCUUUUCAGAGUUUACAUCUGGAGAAAGGGAUCAGUGGGACCACUUUCGAGUCACAAGGUGACUAGGCACAGACUCCAUCUUCUAUGUUUAUGAUGGCUACAUGAACGGGAGCAUAGCCAGUCUCAUCUGCCAAUCAAGUGCAGGAAAGUGCAGAGGCAGUAAGGAGUCUGCUCCAGAUAGUAAAGCCUGCAAUACUUCCAAGGCAUUGGCUCUCUCAGGGCUUUGGGAAGGAGAGGCUGAGCUGGACCAGGCCUGUCUUCAGGACACCCGGAGAAGAGAGAACGCAGGUGCUUGUUGUAGCCACCAUACUCGGGUCAUCCUGAGAGGCUGCGCACUGGGGAGAUUCAGAGCCCGUAGUGAUGGACUCAGCCCCAGUGAGUCUUGCGCAUUUUCUCCCUUUCAUCUGCUCAUUUCCCUACUGCUUCUCCGCGCCUCCGUCCUUUAGAACACUGACUGCAAACACCUCUCGCAGGUUUUCUCUCUUCCCUCACAUUCCCAUCACAUACACUGUGCAUGAAAGGUAAAUUCUGGCCCCUAUCAUACACUGCUUUGUCCCGGUUAGAACCAGCAACCCCGUUGGCCCACCAGGGGAUGCACACGCCUUGUGUCGUGCAUCCCGUGGCCUGCUGUGUGAGGUGAGAUGCAUGUACAAAGGGCUUCAGAAAUGUACAAGUGCUGAGUGGUGCAAUGAGUGUCCUCUGUCCCCUGUUUUCUCUUUCUCUGAAAUUAUGUCAUAACCAGAGUAUAAUAAUCAUGAGACCAAGACAGAGACAAGAAUAAUACACCUUGCAAGUUAAUGGGAGGCCAAAAGAGGAACUACAUCAAGAUGUAUGCUUGUCCCUGAUUGGAUGCAGGCAGGGAGCACAUGAGCAGGAAAUACGUGAGGCACGCUUGUCUCUGACAGGAAUUGAUGGUAAUAUGGUGGCCUUGUGGGGCUGCCUUUUAAAGUCUCUGCAAGUGUGACUCAUGGCCAUUUUCUAGAAAACCGAAGACGGGCUUGGCCAGAGCCCCUCCACUUGUCCAGUAUUUGAUAAAAGCUUGCUUCAAGUUUGACCUUACAGUCAUUGACUGAUGUGUAGGGAAAGAGGGAAACGUUAUCGUCUGUGAUCACAAUGGGGUUAAAGAGUGGCUUGCCCACCUCUGCCUGAACCACACACAUUGGGAGGGUUUAAAGGUACAGUGUGCAGAAGGCCAGGUGAUUUGAUGGGGUGGCUUAGCAGGACCAUGACACUCAUUCACUUCCCCUUGCUAUGCUGUCUUCCACGACCAGAACCAGAGAGUGGGAGGCGCCGCUUAGAAAGAGGCCAGCUCUCUCCUUGGCCUCAACAGAUUCUCAAAAGAUCUAGUGUGGCCUACAAUGGCAGCACAGGCCCAGCCCAAACUGGGACAUAUGCUGUUUCCUUACGGUAAGAGGCUGUCAGUCUGGAUCUGUCCAUGACACAUCUUUUAUCUCAGCUCUGGCACACCCUAUCCACUCUCAAGUUCAAUGAACUCAGAACUGGCUGAGCUAACACUCCUGGGGACAGCGAUCACCUCCCUUAGCCUCAGCUUGCCUGGACUCUUACUCUCCACCGUUGACCCAACGCCUCUGCCUGACAUCCAAACUCUGCAAGGUUUUGUGUCUGUUCUGUGUAAGCUGGUCUCCUGGGGUCCCUGCAGCAUGCUCGAUCCUAACAUGUCUUUUGUUAGAAGUGUGCUUCCAUUCCUCUCUGCUAACCUCCUGGUUCCCGGCAGUGUGAACAUCCUAUGAUCUGCUCUGUAAAGGACCCACUGUUGGUCUGCACACUUUGCCAGAGUUGGCCUUUUCAAAUCAACACAUCAGUACUGUAUGCUGACGUUGAAGGCCUCCAGGAGACUGACAGUUACGGGUGAGAGGAGGACAGCCUGGAGGCAGGUCGGAUGCUAAGGCCUUCUAUGAUGUCCUACUUGUGAGAGCAUUCCUAGAGAAUGUUAGCAUCUGUCACAAGGAGAUAGCUCUAAGGAUGUGUGGUGGUUUGAAUAGGUUCCCCCCCCCCCCCAUAGACUCUUGUGUUUGAAUACUUGGCCAUAGGAAGCAUUGUUGGAGGAAAUGCAUCACUGUGGAGGUGAGAUUUAAGGUCAUAUCUAUGCUCAAGCUCUGCCCAGUGUAGAAGUGAGUCUUCUGGCUGCCUGUGGCUCAAGAUGUAGAACUCUUAGCUCCUCCUCCACCACCAAGUCUGCCUGCACGCUGCCAUGCUUCCCGCCAUGAUGAUAAUGGACUGGACCCUCGGAACUUGCAGCCUGUAUAAAAUAGGAACCACUGAACAUUCAUUCAAAAGGAAUGGAGAGGCGGUUGACAUAAACUCACAGUGACAUGCUAAGAGUCAUCCCGUGAGUGCAUUGUGGGGAAGUCGUGGAGUGAGACCCAGUUCAGCAGCUAAGCAGUGUCACACACUGAAGUCAUGUGUGACAGUUCAUAUAAAUCUCAACAAGUGUAAUGUUAAGAAGGCAGGGCCUGGAUAGUCAGCUAUAAAAGAAAAGGUACAGUAAAAGCAUUUAUAUGACAUUUUAGGACACACAGAGCAAUAACUUACACAGAUAAAUGCACAUGGACCUGGGGUAUUAAAACACAUGGAGAAAGGAGAUAUUCUGGGGGUAGGCAAACUGUACUCAUGGGCCAAGUCCACCUGCUUUUUGUAUGGCCUCUGAGCGGAGAAUGGUCUUUUUACAGUUUUAAAUUGUUGGGGAAAAAAAAAAAAACAGGAGGAAAUUACUUCCUGACGUCGGAUAAUUAUACGAAAUUCAAAUUUCUACGUAAUAAAAUUUGUUGAAACAAUUCCAUACUCUUUCAUUCAGAGCCUGUCCAUGCUUGCCACAGACCAUGUGGUCCACAAAGUUGAAAGCACUUGAAAUCUGCUACCUGUCCCUAUUCAGUGAAGGUGCCUUGACCCUUGGCCUACAUCAACUUUGGAGGCUUGAUCUCUGUCAGGGAAGAGAACCAAGGGGCCUCAUGGCAUAACUAACGUCAUCAACAGCAUGCAUCUUUCAAGUUGCUGGUUGUGAUGGUUUAAAAAGGUUUGGCCCCAUAGAUUCAUGUUUCAAUGUUUAGUCAUGGGGAGUGGCACUAGUAGGGGGUAUGGCCUUAUUGGAAUCGGUGUGGCCUUGUUGGAGGAAUUGCUUCACUGUAUAGGUGGGCUAUGAGGCCUCCUAUGUUCAAGCUCCACUCCUGACUGCCUACAGAAGACAGUUUGCUUCCGGCUGCCUUCGGAUCAAGAUGUAGAACUCUCAUCUCCUUCUCCAGCACCAUGUCUGCCUGGAUGCUGCCAUACUUCCUGCCAUGACAAUAAUGGACCGAGCCUCUGAAACUGUAAGCCAGCCCCAAUGAAAUGUUUUCCUUUAUAAGAGUUGCUUUGGUCAUGGUGUCUCUUCACAGCAAUAAAACCCUA